UUACUUUUUCGAUUUGUGUGCUUAUAAAUUACGUUUGAUAUGUGUCAUGUUAUUAUUUAUUGUGUGCUCGAAAUUAAAUGCCAAAAUAUCUUAAAUAUUUAAUGGCAGCUCAAGAGAGACAGAGAGAGACAGAGAGAGAGAGAGACACCCACGCGAGUUAAAGUCGGCGCCAUUUGCCCUGCCCAGAAUGUCCUUGUCCUUGGCAUCAGCGCAGACAGCUAUUAAAGUGAGAUGGGCUUAGUUUGCCAGAGCGAGAGCGCAAGUGUUUGCAUGUCAGCAAUUUGCAGCCGCGAUUAUUUGGCUGGCGGCGCCCAUGGAGCCCAGACAUGGUCGCCUGCACUUCUGGCUUUCGGUGCAACGUCUUCGAGUCGGGCCAUAAAUGUUGGACAUUAACGGGUAAUUUUCUUGCAAUUUUGUAGUCGUUAGCGUUUUGUGGCAAGGACGACGACGGCGAGGACAACAAGAAAUGCCAAAAAUUUAAUUUUCGCCACAUUUUUUUGAGGCCGCAUAAAUUUUGCAGCUAAUCAACGUGACGUGCGAAUUUUCAGCACUUUAAAAUGUGUUUGGCGCGAGAGCGAAAAAUGAAAUAAAGGGGAACAUUUGAAAAACUGUA